rnacentral:rRNA from 1 species
CACGUAGGGUGCGAGCGUUGUCCGGAAUUAUUGGGCGUAAAGAGCUCGUAGGCGGUGUGUCGCGUCGGCCGUGAAAACCUGCAGCUUAACUGUGGGCUUGCGGUCGAUACGGGCAUCACUGGAGUUUCGGCAGGGGAGACUGGAAUUCCUGGUGUAGCGGUGAAAUGCGCAGAUAUCAGGGAGGAACACCGGUGGGCGAAGGCGGUUC